CAGAAUAUAGUUUAUAAAAAAUAAUAGUUUUGGAAAUUAUAGAAAAAUUUUGAUUUUAUUCUGA
rnacentral:tRNA from 1 species